rnacentral:lncRNA from 1 species
CGAAAUCCCAACUACACACUCCAAUUUUACGGGUGUCCUAUUACCCACCUGAACUUUAUAAUUCUCUAUUUUAUACACACCUAAGUGCUGACCUGUCAUGGGAGGUGUUCUCACCUUUUCUAGGCGCGUUAGAAGGUGAAUUUUGACGAAAAUUUCCGAGAAAAUAGUCAUCUUCCCCAAUUAAUCAAUGAAAGGAUUCAAUCUCAAUUGACCUCCAUUAAUGGCAUUGCUAGUGCUUUCGUUUGUUCUCCCUCUUUUGCUGCUCGACCAUCAGCCACCACUGUCGCUGCCUCCGGCGAAAUCCAAACCACCAACAAAGCCUCGUUCUCCUCUUCCUCUCUCCUCUUAUCUCUCUCCCAUUUCGAGACAACCACCAUAAAGACCUACCUCUAUUCUCACAACAAGAUUGACAACAACAACAACAACAACCUUGCGGCUGCACUGCUC